UAGUGGGGGAUAGCCCGGCGAAAGCCGGAUUAAUACCGCAUACGAUCUGAGGAUGAAAGCGGGGGACCUUCGGGCCUCGCGCUAUAGGGUUGGCCGAUGGCUGAUUAGCUAGUUGGUGGGGUAAAGGCCUACCAAGGCGACGAUCAGUAGCUGGUCUGAGAGGACGACCAGCCACACUGGGACUGAGACACGGCCCAGACUCCUACGGGAGGCAGCAGUGGGGAAUUUUGGACAAUGGGCGAAAGCCUGAUCCAGCAAUGCCGCGUGUGUGAAGAAGGCCUUCGGGUUGUAAAGCACUUUUGUCCGGAAAGAAAUCCUUGGUUCUAAUAUAGCCGGGGGAUGACGGUACCGGAAGAAUAAGCACCGGCUAACUACGUGCCAGCAGCCGCGGUAAUACGUAGGGUGCAAGCGUUAAUCGGAAUUACUGGGCGUAAAGCGUGCGCAGGCGGUUUGCUAAGACCGAUGUGAAAUCCCCGGGCUCAACCUGGGAACUGCAUUGGUGACUGGCAGCUAGAGUAUGGCAGA
rnacentral:rRNA from 1 species